UACCAGCACCCCGAGUGGUCGGGACGAUUAUUGGGCCUAAAGCAUCCGUAGCCGGUUCUACAAGUCUUCCGUUAAAUCCACCUGCUUAACAGAUGGGCUGCGGAGGAUACUAUGGAGCUAGGAGGCGGGAGAGGCAAGCGGUACUUAGUGGGUAGGGGCAAAAUCCGUUGAUCCAUUGAAGACCACCAGUGGCGAAGGCGGCUUGCCAGAACGCACUCGACGGUGAGGGAUGAAAGCUGGGGGAGCAAACCGG
rnacentral:rRNA from 1 species